GGUGUUAUAGCCAAGUGGUUUAAGGCGACAGAUUAGAAUCUAUGCUUACGUAUGCGCAGUCAAUCUAUCUGUUGGGGUCUCCCCGCGUAGGUUCGAAUCCUGCUAACAUCG
rnacentral:tRNA from 1 species